GACGAACGCUGGCGGCGUGCUUAACACAUGCAAGUCGAACGGAAAGGCCCUGCUUUUGUGGGGUGCUCGAGUGGCGAACGGGUGAGUAACACGUGAGUAACCUGCCCUUGACUUUGGGAUAACUUCAGGAAACUGGGGCUAAUACCGGAUAGGAGCUCCUGCUGCAUGGUGGGGGUUGGAAAGUUUCGGCGGUUGGGGAUGGACUCGCGGCUUAUCAGCUUGUUGGUGGGGUAGUGGCUUACCAAGGCUUUGACGGGUAGCCGGCCUGAGAGGGUGACCGGCCACAUUGGGACUGAGAUACGGCCCAGACUCCUACGGGAGGCAGCAGUGGGGAAUAUUGCACAAUGGGCGGAAGCCUGAUGCAGCAACGCCGCUUGCGGGAUGACGGCCUUCGGGUUGUAAACCGCUUUCGCCUGUGACGAAGCGUGAGUGACGGUAAUGGGUAAAGAAGCACCGGCUAACUACGUG
rnacentral:rRNA from 1 species